rnacentral:rRNA from 1 species
GAGCAUGUGGUUUAAUUCGAUGCAACGCGAAGAACCUUACCUGGUCUUGACAUCCACAGAACUUUCCAGAGAUGGAUUGGUGCCUUCGGGAACUGUGAGACAGGUGCUGCAUGGCUGUCGUCAGCUCGUGUUGUGAAAUGUUGGGUUAAGUCCCGCAACGAGCGCAACCCUUAUCCUUUGUUGCCAGCGGUCCGGCCGGGAACUCAAAGGAGACUGCCAGUGAUAAACUGGAGGAAGGUGGGGAUGACGUCAAGUCAUCAUGGCCCUUACGACCAGGGCUACACACGUGCUACAAUGGCGCAUACAAAGAGAAGCGACCUCGCGAGAGCAAGCGGACCUCAUAAAGUGCGUCGUAGUCCGGAUUGGAGUCUGCAACUCGACUCCAUGAAGUCGGAAUCGCUAGUAAUCGUGGAUCAGAAUGCCACGGUGAAUACGUUCCCGGGCCUUGUACACACCGCCCGUCACACCAUGGGAGUGGGUUGCAAAAGAAGUAGGUAGCUUAACCUUCGGGAGGGCGCUUACCACUUUGUGAUUCAUGACUGGGGUGAAGUCGUAACAAGGUAACCGUAGGGGAACCUGCGGUUGGA